rnacentral:rRNA from 1 species
UACGAGGGGGGCGAGCGUUGUUCGGAAUUAUUGGGCGUAAAGGGUGCGUAGGCGGUUUGGUAAGUCUGGUGUGAAAUCUCUGGGCUCAACCCAGAGUCUGCAUAGGAAACUGUCGGGCUUGAGUAUGGGAGAGGUGAGUGGAAUUUCCGGUGUAGCGGUGAAAUGCGUAGAUAUCAGGAGGAACACCGGUGGUGUAGACGGCUAUCUGGACCGUAACUGACGCUGAGGCACGAAAGCGUGGGUAGCAAACAGG